rnacentral:rRNA from 1 species
ACCCGCUGAACUUAAGCAUAUCAAUAAGCGGAGGAAAAGAAACUAACAAGGAUUCCCCUAGUAACUGCGAGUGAAGCGGGAAAAGCUCAAAUUUGAAAUCUGGCGGCCCCGCCGUCCGAGUUGUAUUCUGGAGAAGCGUUUUCCGUGCCGGACCGUGUACAAGUGCCUUGGAACAGGACGUCAUAGAGGGUGAGAAUCCCGUCUUUGACACGGACCCCCGGUGCUAUGCGAUGCGCUCUCGAAGAGUCGAGUUGUUUGGGAAUGCAGCUCAAAAUGGGUGGUAAAUUCCAUCUAAAGCUAAAUAUUGGCGAGAGACCGAUAGCGAACAAGUACCGUGAGGGAAAGAUGAAAAGCACUUUGGAAAGAGAGUAAAACAGUACGUGAAAUUGUUGAAAGGGAAACGCUUGAAGUCAGUCGCGUCUGCCGGAACUCAGCCUUGCUUCUGCUUGGUGCACUUUCCGGCUUGACGGGCCAGCAUCGGUUUCGAGCGGCGGACACUGGCGAGGGGAAGGUGGCAGCUCCGGCUGUGUUAUAGCCCCUCGUCGCAAACGCCGCCCGGGACCGAGGAAUCCGGCGCAAGCCUGGGAUGCUGGCGUAAUGGCUUUAAACGACCCGUCUUGAAACACGG